rfam:Triticum urartu cultivar G1812 contig137101, whole genome shotgun sequence.
UUAGUACUCUCUUUGUUCAGAACUAUUUGUUGGAGAAAUGGAUAUAUCUAGAUGUAUUUAAAUUCUAUAUACAUCUAUUUUUGUCUAGUUCUCCGACGAGUAUUUCGGGACAAAGAGAGUAUUUU